AAACCGUUCAGGGGUAAACCUGCGAAACUCGAAUGAACGAACGGGGAGAUUCAUCGUCAUUCCUCGGCGUACGGGCGGGUGCCUCGAUGUCGUCGACCUCGGUCGGCAGGCACGGGUCCCGUCCGUCGACGUCCGCGGACGGCGUGCACUUCUCCCUCAGUAAUACAUCGCGACCCGUUCGAUGUCGGUCUAAGCGCCGUUCGGGAGCCCCAUAGUGCCCCUCGCGGGGUACUGUGGGACCGCGACGUGCGCCGACCGGCCGUCGGACGGUAUCACUUAACGAAUCGCGCACGCGUACUAGCGCGUCCGGCCCGACGCAAGGCAACGUCGUAUCCUUCGUCCUGCCCGAGUGCGGACGUCGGUGCGGCGCGCCUGUCGUCGCUGCCGUGCAGUCUCGGACACUGUGCGCGUCUCGGUCUGCGAUGAUUCAGUUUCGGGCACUCGCAGGA
rnacentral:rRNA from 1 species